rnacentral:RNase_P_RNA from 1 species
GGCAGAGGGAGUCCGGCUUCCGUGAGGGCCACCCGGCCCGCAUGAGGAAAGUCCCCCCACCUGCUGGGCGGGUGACCGGGCGCAAGCCCGGGGCGGGAGACCGUCGGCGCUGGAACAGAAACGAGACCCCUCCACCCGACCGAUGAGGCGCGCGAACCCGGACCGACAAGGGACGGGGAGUUGACCCGCCGAGGGUCGUUCGGCCCACACGGGCCCGACGGUGGAGAACGGAUGGAACGGCGAAUCCUCACCGGUGCAAGUCCGUGCCGACAGGUAGCCCGGCACUGCGCGAUUGCGCUGGGCACGGACGCUGAGCCGAAUGCUGGAUCGAACAGAAGGGGGCUUACUCCCCUCAGCC